AAAUUCACUGGGUGUGCUGGAACCCGGCACACAGUAGUAUUAAGCCCUGCUUAAUACAUGCAGGACAUAUUUGAGGCCCCUUCCAGGGGUGGGGUGGGAGGACAGAGGGAUGGGGGGUGCACCAGACAACACAGCCAGACUGAGAAAGGUGGUCCCAGAGCAGAGACAGGGACCUCCACGCAUCCUCCAUACCCGCUGCGGGGAAAUGGACCCCACCAGCCAGCACGGGGGGGAAACUGAGGCCUGGCAAGGGGAAGAUGCAGCCUGAGGUGGGACGUGAACCCGCGGCCCUUCAGCCCAGACAGUGGCCCUGGAGUGACCACCAGCUUCACCAAAGCCCCUUUAUUGCGCCCCCGAGGACACCUGCCUGCCGUUCCCCGGGGGCCGUCACCGCCGGUAGCGGUAGCGCUUGAAGUGGAACCACAGCUGGAAGAUGCCGUUGGCAAACUGGCAGCGGAAGCCGUGACGGUGCGAGUAUUCCCACUCGCGGUUGACGAUCUUGAAAGCGAUGUCCUCGUAGGGCGGCCCCGCGUGGAAGCGCAGGAUGGCGAAAUCCUUGUUGUCGGCACAGGCCUCCAGGAAGUACUCGGGCGUGGAGCGCUUGUCGAUGAGGUCGGGGUAGAAGAUGUUGAACUUGUAUCCCUGCACGAUCUUGGGCGGCGGGUUGUCAAAGUCGUAGUGCGUCUGGUUGUACUUGUUCCACUCAAAGCCCGUGUGUACGCGGUUGAAGAAGCGCGGCUUGCGUGGCCGGUACUUGUCGGCCCACAGGACGGAGGCUGUCCAGGGAGUGCUCGGAUAGCGGCCGGUAAAAGCUUCCACCACCUGUGGCCCCAAGGCCAGGGGGCCAGCAAGCCCAGGAUGAAUGAAUGAACGCCCCAGUACACGUGCAGGUGACGGGAACGGUCGCUCAGAGACCCGGGGGAGAAGAAUCAAGCAGCUCCCCACUGACGCCAGGCGCUUCGGCCGGGAAAUGAGGCCGGAGAAGCCCCGCCCCCAGCUCGCCCCACCGGCCCCGCCCCCUGGCCUCCAGCCCCGCCCUUACCCGUGACCUGGAGCUGCUGGCGCGAGAGCUGCAGGCGCUGCAGGUCCUCAUCCGGUUCCAGCACGUGCGCGUCCAGUGGCAGCUCGUGCGCAGUGAGCAGCCGCGGGCUGUACCUGCCGGCGUCGUAGUCGUCCAGGCUCUGCUGGAUCAGGUCCUCCUCCAUGAGCACAGCCUCGCCCUCGCCCUCGCCGUCACCGUCCCCGUCCCCGUCCCCGUCGCCCUCUGUCGGGGUCGCGCCGUCCACCUCGGCCUCCGCGGGGCCGCCCUCCGAGGAGGGCCCGGGCGGGGUGGGCGCCGCGUCCUCGGGCUCCAGGCUGGGGAGGAGAGAGCGUUGGAGGCGCGGAGGCUGCCCAUGGCCCCUCCAUCCUGCUCCGCGUCUGCAUCGGCAUCCCCAGGGUGCCGGCCGGGCCUACCUGCGGCUGGGGGACUGGGACUCCUGCUUGAGGAUGGGGAACAGCGGCUCGCUCUCCACGCCCUGCUCCUGCUUCAGUUUGUACAGCUUCUGCCGCAGCACGUCCUGGUGGCGCUCACGCAGCCUGGGACGCAGGGCCCGGGUCACCCACAUGGAGGCGAAGGGGCUCCGCGCCCCACCCCCACCGAGAUUCUCACGCCCCUUUUUGCUGCAAGGAGCCUGAGAAGGUGGUGAGCAGCCAUGGCUCUGUUCUGGCUGGGACCUUUGCCCAGGCUUGGUCAGUUCAGGGUCAAGGCUUAUGGGAGAGGACGAGAGGACCCAGGUACCCCGGAGAACCAUCCCGUGGCAGGGAGGGGUGGGUCUCUGUCUCAUGUUAGAGUCUCAGUGUCUUGCGGCUGGGGCUGGCCGAGAGAAGGGGCCCAGCAGGACACCAGCCAACAAGCAUGAUAAAUUUAGAGACAUUUACAAAUU
rnacentral:antisense_RNA from 1 species